UACGUAGGGUGCGAGCGUUAAUCGGAAUUACUGGGCGUAAAGCGUGCGCAGGCGGUUUUGUAAGUCAGAUGUGAAAUCCCCGGGCUUAACCUGGGAACUGCGUUUGAAACUACAAGGCUAGAGUGUGGCAGAGGGGGGGUGGAAUUCCACGUGUAGCAGUGAAAUGCGUAGAGAUGUGGAGGAAUACCGAUGGCGAAGGCAGCCCCCCUGGGCCAAUACUGACGCUCAUGCACGAAAGCUAGGGGAGCAAACAGG
rnacentral:rRNA from 1 species